GACAGUGGAGAGACCUGCCCGCCCCCAGGGGCUCUUCUGAGCCUCGUGGAAAGGCAACCCAGGUCUCCUCGGAAUGUGGCUCAUCAGGCUCCUACAGACACCAACUGACGUGAGGGAGGUUGCAGUAGCCGAAGAGCAGAGUUUCAGCUUGAGCCUUCACACCAGAUGGAUUUGAAUCGUAAGCGACACCAAAGGACCUUUGCAGCUUUAGGAGGAGUCCCAGCACCGCCCCUGGAACUUCGCCCUGCUGUCUCUGUGCACAGCGGGUUGGCUUAGCACAAAAGCCACCUGACUCCACCCACCCCUCUUGGCACGUGCGGGAGUCCCAGUCCCUAACCUAGUCCUGGCCCGCCGCCACGUCCCGAGGGGAGCGACCUCUAAUCCCCGGGGCUCCUCGGGAAAACCAUUAGGCGGCGGGACCGCGCCCCGCGGGUCCCACCCGGCCAUUUGGGAGCCCGCUCCCGCCGCACCCCCCUUCCUGUCACUCUCCAUCGUCGCCGGAUAUCUACCACAGCGACUGUCUGCUCGAACCCGGGACCGCAAGGCUGGCCUCUUGCCUGCCGUGCCUGUACGGCGAGGCCAGGAGCGUUGUGUCCAUGCCUUGGCUCUCUGUCACUGACCGCCCUAGCCCUGCCAGUUUUGAGCUAGACCCUUCAUUCGCCCCCAACCCGCGUGGCCAGCCUGGAGGGAAGUGUCCA
rnacentral:lncRNA from 1 species